AAAUGCGAUAAGUAAUGUGAAUUGCAGAAUUCAGUGAAUCAUCGAAUCUUUGAACGCACAUUGCGCCCGCCAGUAUUCUGGCGGGCAUGCCUGUCCGAGCGUCAUUUCAACCAUCAAGCCCCCGGGCUUGUGUUGGGGACCUGCGGCUGCCCGCAGGCCCUGAAAACCAGUGGCGGGCUCGCUGUCACACCGAGCGUAGUAGCAAUCACCUCGCUCAGGGCGUGCUGCGGGUUCCGGCCGUUAGACAGCCUUACAAAACCCAAGGUUGACCUCGGAUCAGGUAGGAAGACCCGCUGAACUUAAGC
rnacentral:misc_RNA from 1 species